UGGGGAAUAUUGGACAAUGGGCGCAAGCCUGAUCCAGCCAUGCCGCGUGAGUGAUGAAGGCCCUAGGGCUGUAAAGCUCUUUUACCGGUGAAGAUAAUGACGGUAACCGGAGAAGAAGCUCCGGCUAACUUCGUGCCAGCAGCCGCGGUAAUACGAAGGGGGCUAGCGUUGUUCGGAUUUACUGGGCGUAAAGCGCACGUAGGCGGACUAUUAAGUCAGGGGUGAAAUCCCGGGGCUCAACCCCGGAAAUGCCUUUGUUACUGGUAGUGUUGGGUUCGAGAGAGGUGAGUGGAAUUCCGAGUGUAGAGGUGAAAUUCGUAAAUAUUCGGAGGGACACCAGUGGCGAAGGCGGCUCGCUGGCUCGAUACUGACGCAGAAGUGCGAAAACGUGGGGAGCAAACAGG
rnacentral:rRNA from 1 species